GACGAAGGAUGCAAGCGUUAUCCGGAUUCAUUGGGUUUAAAGGGAGCGUAGGCGGCCUUAUAAGUCAGUGGUGAAAUCUUUGGGCUUAACCCAAAAAUUGCCAUUGAUACUGUAGGGCUUGAGUACAGUUGCUGUGGGCGGAAUAUGACAUGUAGUGGUGAAAUACAUAGAGAUGUCAUAGAACACCGAUUGCGAAGGCAGCUCACAAAACUGUAACUGACGCUGAGGCUCGAAAGUGCGGGGAUCAAAACAGG
rnacentral:rRNA from 1 species